ensembl:lncRNA
ACACUUCCCUGGUGCCUUAUUUUUUCCUUAUGAUUACCCUUGUUUCACCAGUGUAAAGUACGUGUGUGUGAAUGUGAAGGAGAAGGUGGGUAUAUGUAUGAGGGAUGGGGUGGGCAUCUGGCAUGCACAGUGUGACUUUCCCCACACCCCAUUCUCCUGGUGGUUAGAGACCUCCUUUAAGACCCAGGACAGAAACACUGCAUGGGGAAGAGGGGGUGACAGAUUGUAUGGAAUCUUUCUGAAUCUUCCUUCAAACAACUUCUAAUUACCUGGUCCUUUCCUUCAUAUAUAAUCUAUGUAACAGCCAAUCAUGACCUUCCAUUUAUUUUCUAAAAACCUUAGUUCUGGCUUUUAUUCCUAACAUAUCUGCAUGGUGAGCAGCCAGGCUGGGCAGCCACACCUAGGAUUCCCUUCCCAGACCAGGGGAAUUUAGAUAAUGAAGUCACAAACACACUGUAAUUAAGACCUCCUGCCCCCCACCCCCCACCCUCUCUCUUUCUUUGCUUCUCAGGAGCUUCUCUUGUACUGCAGCAGCAUAGCCAAGGAGGGGCAUAGGGGUCUACAGAGCCCGUCUAGGUACCCGGUCUCAAAGACCUUAUCAUUGCCAACUCCAGCGAGGCAUCUGAGUGAAGAGAGCUGUGCUCCGCUGCCUCUACCCUGCUGUAGGAAGAGAAAAAUUGGCCAUACUAACUCCAUUUUAAAAUACACCUCCAUCUGGCUGGGCGCAGUGGCUCACACCUGUAAUUCCAGCACUUUGGGUGGUCGAGGCAGGCAGAUCACCUGAGGUCUUAUUUCCCCUCCCCGCUACUACAGGAGUUCGAGACCCACCUGGCCAACAUGGUGAAACUCUGUCUCUACUAAAAAUACAGAAAUUAGCCGGGCAUGGUGGUGCGCGCCUGUUUCACACCUACUUGGGAGGUUGAGGCAGGAGAAUCGCUUGAACCCAGGAGGCAGAGGUUGCAGUGAGCUGAGACCGCACCACCGCACUCCAGCCUGGGCAACAAGAGCGAAACUCUGUCUAAAAAUAAUAAUAAUAAACCAAAUAAAAUAUGUCUCCAUCUGUAGGGGAGGUAAAGACACCUAAGGUGAAAAGGUAAACACCUUGUGUAAAAUUUGGUGAAAAGCCCAGAAAUUAACUCAAGUCCUGAAACGCGACCUGGGACGCUGCUCCCAGAACCAUUGCUUCAGUGUUGCUUGCUCGGGAAGGGCGCUCCCCAGCAAACAACAGAGGAUGUCCAAAGUAACAACGCACUUAAUAAAAGGAGCUUACACGAAGGAAGAUUGAAGGUUGCUGCUGUUGUAUGCUGGGGGAUGCCCCGACUCUGACUGCAGGAUCCAGGGCGUCCGUCUUCUGACUCCAGUGAUGACUCUUCUGUGGUCUGGUGAGCUUUGGUUACAUUUUGUCUUCUUUUGUGGGUUCUUUUAUACCUACUUAAGGCGGAUUUGCUGUGAUAUUUGCUUACACUAAUGAAGUUUUAGUUUUCCCCUCCCCGCUACUACAGUGCUCGGCUUGUCCUUCCGACACCGUCUUGAAACACCUGCCUUCAUUUAGUGGGCUGAUCCCCUCAGCUCUCGCUCUUGCUUUCCUCUAUAUGCGUGCUGGGGAGAAGGCGGGUCAGGAUUAGGGCACAGGAGUUAAUGAAGCCGACUGACUUACAUGGGAAUCUAAGGUAGGAUACCGGUCUUAUCACCCCCGUGGCCCAACCCAUAAAGCAAUUGGUGAUGAGGCCAGGCGUAGUAGCUCACGUCUGUAAUCCCAGCGCUUUGGCAGGCCAACGCAGACAGAUUGCCUGAACCCAGGAGUUCAAGACUAAUCUGGGCAACAUGGUAAAACCCCGCUUCUGCAAAAAAUUAGCUGGGUGUGGUGACGCGCAUCUGUAGUCCCAGCUACCCGGAAGGCUGAGGUGGGGGGAACCUCUGAGCCCUGGAGGUCAGGGAUGCAGUGAACCAUGAUUGCACCACUGCACUCCAGCCUGGGGAACCAAGCGAGACCCCUGACUCAAAAAAAAAAAAAAAAAAAAAA